CCGGAAUGCUCUGUCUCCCACCUGCUGCCCUUUGCCAUUAUGAGGAGCCUGGCUGUCAUGCAGAACCUGAGGAACACGUCUCUGGGAACCGCAGCUGCUCUGUUGCAUGCGCCCUCGUCAUGGCCUACUGAGCUCAUUUCCCAAGUGACGAAAUGAGCUGCAGAGAACUGAGUACAAGAGGACCUGACCCUCGUGGACUGGGAACCAAUGAAAGUCACUGGCAAGGGCCUUUCCAGAUAGCACAGAGGAAGACGACAGCGUCAAAGCAAAACCGGGCGAACUUCUCAGCGUGCGAUGUCAUGGACUCGUUCCUUCUUGUUUUCAUCCUUCCAUUUUAUCAUUUAUUUAAUUACUGUACAUCUUUGUGCGGUAUAAUACAGACCAUGCACGCAGUGUACGAUAAUCAAAUAAG